CCUACGGGCGGCUGCAGUGGGGAAUAUUGCACAAUGGGGGAAACCCUGAUGCAGCGACGCCGCGUGGAUGAUGAAGUUUUUCGGAUUGUAAACUCCUAUUGUUAGGGAAGAUAAUGACGGUAUCUAACGAAUAAGCACCGGCUAACUACGUGCCAGCAGCCGCGGUAAUACGGAGGGUGCAAGCGUUACUCGGAAUCACUGGGCGUAAAGAGCGCGUAGGCGGGAGAGCAAGUCAGAUGUGAAAUCCUAUGGCUUAACCAUAGAACUGCAUUUGAAACUGUUAUUCUAGAGUAUGGGAGAGGUAGGUGGAAUUCUUGGUGUAGGGGUAAAAUCCGUAGAGAUUAAGAGGAACACUCAUGGCGAAGGCGACUUGCUAGAAUAUAACUGACGCUGAGGCGCGAAAGCGUGGGGAGCAAACAGGAUUAGAUACCCGAGUAGUC
rnacentral:rRNA from 1 species